UUCUUUCAAAUCCCUCCAUUGCAAUUCAUUCCCUUCUAGCAUCCCUUGUGCUAGACCAUGGAUGUCCUGCGGCAAUCGAUCCAAGGAAUUGGAUGUGCCCCUAGUGCAUAUGCAUGAUCAAGCAAAUAAAACAAUAAAGCGCAUCUCGCUCGCACACCUCUGGUAAUGAUGGGUCAUUGACAACAUCUCGAAGAUAUUGCUCGACGUCAGCAGUCUUCUGCAGUGUUAAGCUAGUCAUGCUGUUCCGAUGUAUUGAUCUGGUCCACUGUAUGUGCCCCCUACGCGAAGCUAAAUAGCACGAUAUACCUUUCUU
rnacentral:lncRNA from 1 species